AUUGAACGCUGGCGGCAGGCCUAACACAUGCAAGUCGAGCGAGCGGCGGACGGGUGAGUAAUGUCUGGGAAACUGCCUGAUGGAGGGGGAUAACUACUGGAAACGGUAGCUAAUACCGCAUACCAUCAGAUGUGCCCAGAUGGGAGUAGCUAGUAGGUGGGGUAACGGCUCAACUAGGCGACGAUCCCUAGCUGGUCUGAGAGGAUGACCCGCCACGCGGGAACGGAGAUACUGGCCAGACUCCUACGGGAGGCAGCAUGGGGGAAUAUUGCACAAUGGGCGCAAGCCUGAUGCAGCCAUGCCGCGUGUGUGAAGAAGGCCUUCGGGUUGUAAAGCACUUUCAGCGGGGAGGCGUUACCCGCAGAAGAAGCACCGGCUAACUCCGUGCCAGCCGCCGCGGUAAUAC
rnacentral:rRNA from 1 species